GACUCUCGACAACGGAUAUCUCGGCUCUCGCAUCGAUGAAGAACGUANUGAAAUGCGAUACUUGGUGUGAAUUGCAGAAUCCCGUGAACCAUCGAGUCUUUGAACGCAAGUUGCGCCCGAAGCC
rnacentral:rRNA from 1 species